rnacentral:lncRNA from 1 species
AAAAUCCCUUGUGGGGUUUGGUGUUUCACUUUUUAAAGGGAGGGAGUUCUCACAAGAUCUGAUGGUUUAAGCGUGGCAGUUUCCCCUGAGCUCUCCUUCCUGCUGGUAUGUAAGGCGUGCUUUGCUUCCUCUUCACCUUCCGCCAUGAUUGUACAUUUCCUGAGGCCUCCCCAGCCAUGCAGAACUGUGAGUCAAUUAAACCUCUUUUCUUUAUAAAUUAACCAGUCUCUGGUAUUCUUUAUAGCAGUGUGAAAAUGGACUUAUACAGUUG